GCCCGCAUAGCUCAGGGGUAGAGCGUGUCACUAGUAUUCCUUAAUGACAAGGUCAUCAGUUCAAUUCUGAUUGUGGGCA